AGUGAACGCUGGCGGUAGGCCUAACACAUGCAAGUCGAACGGCAGCACAGUAAGAGCUUGCUCUUACGGGUGGCGAGUGGCGGACGGGUGAGGAAUACAUCGGAAUCUACUUUUUCGUGGGGGAUAACGUAGGGAAACUUACGCUAAUACCGCAUACGACCUACGGGUGAAAGCAGGGGAUCUUCGGACCUUGCGCGAUUGAAUGAGCCGAUGUCGGAUUAGCUAGUUGGCGGGGUAAAGGCCCACCAAGGCGACGAUCCGUAGCUGGUCUGAGAGGAUGAUGAGCCACAAGGGAACUGGGACACGGUCCAGACUCCUACGUGAGGCAGCAGUGGGGAAUAUUGGACAAUGGGCGCAAGCCUGAUCCAGCCAUACCGCGUGAGUGAAGAAGGCCUUCGGGUUGUAAAGCCCUUUUGUUGGGAAAGAAAAGCAGCAGGUUAAUACCCCGCUGUUCUGACGGUACCCAAAGAAUAAGCACCGGCUAACUUCGUG
rnacentral:rRNA from 1 species